AGAGUUUGAUCAUGGCUCAGAUUGAACGCUGGCGGCAGGCCUAACACAUGCAAGUCGAACGGUGACAGGAAGCAGCUUGCUGCUUCGCUGACGAGUGGCGGACGGGUGAGUAAUGUCUGGGAAACUGCCUGAUGGAGGGGGAUAACUACUGGAAACGGUAGCUAAUACCGCAUAAUGUCGCAAGACCAAAGAGGGGGACCUUCGGGCCUCUUGCCAUCGGAUGUGCCCAGAUGGGAUUAGCUUGUUGGUGGGGUAACGGCUCACCAAGGCGACGAUCCCUAGCUGGUCUGAGAGGAUGACCAGCCACACUGGAACUGAGACACGGUCCAGACUCCUACGGGAGGCAGCAGUGGGGAAUAUUGCACAAUGGGCGCAAGCCUGAUGCAGCCAUGCCGCGUGUAUGAAGAAGGCCUUCGGGUUGUAAAGUACUUUCAGCGGGGAGGAAGGGAGUAAAGUUAAUACCUUUGCUCAUUGACGUUAUCCGCAGAAGAAGCACCGGCUAACUCCGUGCCAGCAGCCGCGGUAAUACGGAGGGUGCAAGCGUUAAUCGGAAUUACUGGGCGUAAAGCGCACGCAGGCGGUUUGUUAAGUCAGAUGUGAAAUCCCCGGGCUCAACCUGGGAACUGCAUCUGAUACUGGCAAGCUUGAGUCUCGUAGAGGGGGGUAGAAUUCCAGGUGUAGCGGUGAAAUGCGUAGAGAUCUGGAGGAAUACCGGUGGCGAAGGCGGCCCCCUGGACGAAGACUGACGCUCAGGUGCGAAAGCGUGGGGAGCAAACAGGAUUAGAUACCCUGGUAGUCCACGCCGUAAACGAUGUCGACUUGGAGGUUGUGCCCUUGAGGCGUGGCUUCCGGAGCUAACGCGUUAAGUCGACCGCCUGGGGAGUACGGCCGCAAGGUUAAAACUCAAAUGAAUUGACGGGGGCCCGCACAAGCGGUGGAGCAUGUGGUUUAAUUCGAUGCAACGCGAAGAACCUUACCUGGUCUUGACAUCCACGGAAGUUUUCAGAGAUGAGAAUGUGCCUUCGGGAACCGUGAGACAGGUGCUGCAUGGCUGUCGUCAGCUCGUGUUGUGAAAUGUUGGGUUAAGUCCCGCAACGAGCGCAACCCUUAUCCUUUGUUGCCAGCGGUCCGGCCGGGAACUCAAAGGAGACUGCCAGUGAUAAACUGGAGGAAGGUGGGGACGACGUCAAGUCAUCAUGGCCCUUACGACCAGGGCUACACACGUGCUACAAUGGCGCAUACAAAGAGAAGCGACCUCGCGAGAGCAAGCGGACCUCAUAAAGUGCGUCGUAGUCCGGAUUGGAGUCUGCAACUCGACUCCAUGAAGUCGGAAUCGCUAGUAAUCGUGGAUCAGAAUGCCACGGUGAAUACGUUCCCGGGCCUUGUACACACCGCCCGUCACACCAUGGGAGUGGGUUGCAAAAGAAGUAGGUAGCUUAACCUUCGGGAGGGCGCUUACCACUUUGUGAUUCAUGACUGGGGUGAAGUCGUAACAAGGUAACCGUAGGGGAACCUGCGGUUGGAUCACCU
rnacentral:rRNA from 1 species